ACGUCUGUGGUGCAACGGUUAGUAUAUGCUCCUGGUAAGAGUGAGAUUUGGGUUCGAACCCCGGAUGACGCA